rnacentral:misc_RNA from 1 species
GAUGAUGAACGUAGCGAAAUGCGAUACUUGGUGUGAAUUGCAGAAUCCCGUGAACCAUCGAGUCUUUGAACGCAAGUUGCGCCCGAAGCCAUCAGGUUGAGGGCACGUCUGCCUGGGCGUCACAUAUCGUUGCCCAAUGCCUAUUGCAGUGCAAUAGGAAUUUCUAGGGCGAAUGAUGGCUUCCCGUGAGCGUUGUUGCCUCGCGGUUGGUUGAAAAUCGAGUCCUUGGUAGGGUGUGCCAUGGUAGAUGGUGGUCGAGUUAGAACGAUACCGAUCAUGUGCAUGCUCCCCAAAAUAUGGCCUCUAUGACCCACACGCGUCUUUUGACGCUCAUGACGAGACCUCAGGUCAGGCGGGGCUACCCGCUGAAUUUAAGCAUAUCAAUAAGCGGAGGA